rnacentral:rRNA from 1 species
UACAGAGGGUGCUAGCGUUGUUCGGAAUCAUUGGGCGUAAAGGGCGUGUAGGCGGUUUGCUAAGUCAUGUGUGAAAUCCCUCGGCUUAACCGGGGAACGACGCAUGAAACUGGCAGCUAGAGUACCAAAGAGGGGGGUGGAAUUCCCGGGUGUAGCGGUGAAAUGCGUAGAUAAUCGGGAGGAACACCUGUGGCGAAGGCGGCCCCCUGGUUG